UUCCUGGUGGUCUAGUGGCUGAGGAUCUCAUGCGCUCACCGCCGAGGCCCGGGUUUGAUUCCCAGGCAGGGAA